AGUGGCGAACGGGUGAGUAACACGUGAGCAACCAACCCCUUACAGUGGAAUAACAACGGGAAACCGUUGCUAAUACCGCAUAAUAUCGCUAUAUGGCAUCAUAUGGUGAUCAAAGAUUUAUCGGUGAGGGACGGGCUCGCGUCCGAUUAGGUAGUAGGUAAGGUAACGGCUUACCUAGCCGACGAUCGGUAGCCGGACUGAGAGGUCGAUCGGCCACACUGGGACUGAGACACGGCCCAGACUCCUACGGGAGGCAGCAGUGAGGAAUAUUGGACAAUGGAUGGAAAUCUGAUCCAGCCAUGCCGCGUGCAGGAAGACGGCCUUAUGGGUUGUAAACUGCUUUUAUACGGGAGCAAUAAGGGUUACGAGUAGUCCGAUGAGAGUACUGUAUGAAUAAGGAUCGGCUAACUCCGUGCCAGCAGCCGCGGUAAUACGGAGGAUCCGAGCGUUAUCCGGAAUUAUUGGGUUUAAAGGGUGCGUAGGCGGCCAUUUAAGUCAGCGGUGAAAUUUUGCAGCUUAACUGUAACAGUGCCGUUGAUACUGUUUGGCUAGGAUUUGGUUGUAGUGUGCGGAAUGUGUGGUGUAGCGGUGAAAUGCUUAGAUAUCACACAGAACACCGAUUGCGAAGGCAGCACACUAAGUCAUUAUUGACGCUGAGGCACGAAAGUGUGGGGAUCAAACAGGAUUAGAUACCCUGGUAGUCCACACUGUAAACGAUGAUAACUCGCUGUCGGCGAUACACAGUCGGUGGCCAAGCGAAAGCAUUAAGUUAUCCACCUGGGGAGUACGACCGCAAGGUUGAAACUCAAAGGAAUUGACGGGGGCCCGCACAAGCGGAGGAACAUGUGGUUUAAUUCGAUGAUACGCGAGGAACCUUACCCGGGCUCGAACGGUGCAUGAAUAUACGAGAGAUUGUAUAGUCCUUCGGGACAUGUAUCGAGGUGCUGCAUGGUUGUCGUCAGCUCGUGCCGUGAGGUGUCGGCUUAAGUGCCAUAACGAGCGCAACCCUCGUCAUUAGUUGCCAUCAGGUCAAGCUGGGGACUUUAAUGAGACUGCCACCGUAAGGUGUGAGGAAGGGGGGGAGGACGUCAAAUCAGCACGGCCCUUAUGUCCGGGGGGACACACGUGUUACAAUGGGAGGUACAGAGGGCAGCUAUCCGGUGACGGAAUGCUAAUCUCCAAAACCUUUCUCAGUUCGGAUUGGAGUCUGCAACUCGACUCCACGAAGGUGGAUUCGCUAGUAAUCGCGCAUCAGCCAUGGCGC
rnacentral:rRNA from 1 species